UACGUAGGGGGCAAGCGUUGUCCGGAAUCAUUGGGCGUAAAGCGCGUGUAGGCGGUUCGGUAAGUCUGCUGUGAAAGUCCAGGGCUCAACCCUCGAAUGCCGGUGGAUACUGUCGGGCUAGAGUGCGGGAGAGGCGAGUGGAAUUCCUGGUGUAGCGGUGAAAUGCGCAGAUAUCAGGAGGAACACCAAUUGCGAAGGCAGCUCGCUGGAACGUAACUGACGCUGAGACGCGAAAGCGUGGGGAGCAAACAGG
rnacentral:rRNA from 1 species